UCAUUCUGAACCAAACCCGCAAUCUUAAGCCUUGCAUAUUGAAAUAGGGUUCACAUUUAGCUGCAGGCACAAUCAAGGACUGUCUGAGUUUACAUUAAAAUACAUAGUUGAACCAUUAGGAUACUCUCUUUCGCCAUGUCUGGACGACAUUCAUAUCGCAAUCAAACGAUACUAUCGAAACCGAGUCUACUACUACGGAAGAGAGGCCAGGUCCUUUACAUUAAAAUAUAUAGUUGAACCAUUACAUUAGGAUACUCUCUCUUUCACCAAGUCUGGAUGACAUUCAUAUCGCAAUCAAACGAAACUACCGAAACCGAGUCUACCACUACGGAAGAGAGGCCAGGCCAGGUCCUUGCUACACUACUUUCUCUUCUUUCCCUGCAAAAAGAAUGACAACUCAGACUCGGACAUCUUUGAUUGACUGGAUUUGAAUAUGCAUAUUAUCGUAUAGAGGUUAUCAUAGAAGAAAAAGCUUACAGAGGUCAGGUAAUCAUCCAUGGACGGUUGCUUCCGCUUCUUAAGGCUACUGGGGGGACUCUCAGCUUGCCUCCCACCACCACCACGCUUAGAUGCUGUCAUACUUUGCUGCAAGUAACAAUACGGUAAUUAUGAGGGAGGAAGAAUUAUUCUAAGCAAGUUAAUUUCCUAGUGUCUGUCUAGUGGUUUCAGAGUUCAAAAAGAUUUGUUGAAAACCUUGGCAAGCUUCUUCUCUUUGCGAGCUUGCCUUUCCCUCUCGUCAAAUUCUUGAUUUUCCUUCUCUACCAAUCGGAUUAAGGUAUCGCAUCUUCUCGCAAGCUCCUGAGUUGUUCUAGACUUGACAAACCAAUCGAACCGAAACAAAGACGACGUGCGAAAUGAUGCUUUCAGCUCAUCCCAAUUCCCAUAUCCUAGCUUGUGAAUCAUGCACAUCUGCAAGUCGGUAAACAAGAAUCAAUCAUAUCCCCAACUAGCAAGUACAGACACCGGACUAAGCUAACAAACAAAGGGUAAAAGAAGACGAACCAUGAAACGGUCACAUUCUUCAUUGUACAGCUUCCCUUUGUUCUGACCGUACUGGAUCUUCAACUCAAGCCAAGGGUUCUUGUAGCGAUCCAGUUUCUUACUAAUGGCUUUCAUAAUCUCAUCUUUACGAGAAAUUCUGCCCUCCCCUCUUUCAAUGUUCUUGAUGAUUCUAUCAUAAUCUGCACUCAGACACAACAGCACCAACAGAAGAUUCACCAUACCACUUGUUUAAAAAAAAGAUUUAAACUUAACAAGGCAGAAGAAAAACUAGGUUCCAAUAUUAACAUCCCAUGUUGUAACAAUUAACUGUUGUAAAAAUAGUAAUGUUUCUGAAGACGUGAAGGCUAAUCCAAUUUCAUAGUCAACUUCCGCAAUGCAACAUCCGCAUCAUACUGAUGUUGAGGAAACAAUGUAUCAGGAACCAUCGCUGGCACUUUUGCAAAGUCAAUGAAUUUAUUAAGAGGAACUUUGCAAAAAAACAUACCGUUCAGUUCUUUAUAUCUUUCCAUGAAAACUUUUGCAUAUCUCCCGACCUCUUCCUCUGUUUUGCCUUCCAUUUCAGUUGCAAUGCUGUUAAUGUCAUUUCUUCCAUACUUCUCACAAGCCCUAAUGAAUGUACUGAAGUCCCUUCUAGUCCACGAAGAGAAUCCCUGGGCAAUAGACUAUACGUCAGCAAAAUGCGGCACAAAAACUGAGUUGCAUUACAGAAGGUUUUUAUUCAACCAACCUCUUCUAACAACUUCUCCUUUUCUUCAAGUUCCUCAGCAGUCAACGGUUCUCCAACCUCUGAGAAUCACAUAAAUAUUGCAUAUUGAUUAUUGAACAAGAACCAAACACGACUGCAGAAAAAAUAAGCUUAAUAGACAGUUAUAGUGCAUACCUUCAGGUUCAUCAACGUCUAUCGUAUCUUUUACCUGAUUCUUUUGAUGUGUUUGCUAGCAAGUAAACCAGACAGAAAGAGUUAGGAUAUUGAAAGGCCCAACGACAAACAAAAAAGAGACAGUACUACGUAGAACAAAGAUGAUACCCACCAUGAGAUACAGUACUUCUUUUUCAUAUAACUCAUUUAACCUCUGAGUGUUGAAAAACUGGAAAUCAUGCCUGAAAUUAGUAAUAGAAACAGUCAACCAGAGCAGAAAACAUUCAAGUGUGACAAGUGACAGCAAAUGAACUUACAAUUGUGGCAUGCGAGGAAUUCGAGGCUCCUUAGGUUUAGCUGGAGCACCUUGUCGCAUUGUUUGCUUGAAGUAUUCAGAUUCUGAGUAACUGGUUACAGGAAACACAUCAAGACUCAUUCAAUAGAUAAAUCCCCAUGAAAUCAAACCCAACGAAACCUUGCAAAUAUUGCAAAAUAUGCGCGAAGGAAACCAAUUAUUACUUGCGCUUCCUUUCUCUCUUUGGAGGCUCUACCCAGUUAUCACUGACAAGUUUUUUGAAGUCGACCUUGUUCUCAUCCUUCAUUUAGAACAAAUUACAGUAACAAGGGUUAGAAAGCUCUCAGCAUAAUUUUGUGAAAUUCAGAAACAAGGAUUUCUCAUAAAGUUUUAUAAAAAGGCAUCUACCGUAUCGUCAUCAAAAUCAUACAAUUCAGCCGCUGUCACAAAUAACAAAUACGAUCAGUAGUUAUGUAGUACGAAAAACAGUUAAAAGCACACAAACAUAUUGUGAAUAAGCAUACUGUCGUCCAUCUUGAAUUUAAUCGCAUCCUCUGUAAAUUUCUUCAUCUUAGCAUCAAGCUCAGCUGUUGCUUCUUCUCCUUUAGCAAUGAUUCUGUCAAUGUCCUCAUCUGUGAUUGUACUAUCCUUUGAGCUGAAAACCAUUUCAGCACCAAAUCUCACCAUUUGAAGCAGCUCAUCUUUGUUGACAGCUGCAGAGAAUUUCCACCAAAUUCUCAGUCAUGCAAGCAUAAAAAUUAUGUAUUUUACAAAUAUCUAAAACAGAAAAAUGCAUUCAACCUUUCUGCUCAGCCAGCCUUCCUUGCUGAAUAACCAAAGCAUCAAGAGCAAGUUUCUUAUAAGCUCUUUCAAUGACCUUUUCUUCAAUAGUAUACUGUCAAUAAUGAACUGGAAUCAGAACCAUCCGUAGCAAAUUCAAAACUUCAACUAAAGCACCCGACAAUUUUCCAUACCUCUGUGCAGAACCGGAACACUUGAACUUCUUUCUUUUGACCAAUCCUAUGAGCACGAUCCUGCGCUUGCAAAUCAACUUGUGGAUUCCUGCAAGACAAUCAUCAUAUAAAUUAAUAACAGAAGCAUCAUAAAGUCAGCGCCAGAUAUAAAUGACAAAAACGCACCAGUCACUGUCAUACAGAAUGACAACAUCCGCAGUAGCAAGAUUAAUACCAAGUCCACCAGCUCUGGUUGACAGCAAGAACACAAACUUCUCACUUCCCGGUUUGUUGUAGGCUUCAAUGGAAGCAUCACGGUCAUCUCCGCCAGUAUUUCCAUCAAUACGACAGUAUUGAUAGCCACGGAACAUUAGAUAAUCCUCAAGAAUGUCGAGCAAUCUUGUCAUCUGCAUCAAAGCCAUAACCAACAUUAAGUCCAAUCAUCAAAUCUACAUAACAGUGGAUAUAAUAACCACGGAACCUCAAGGAAAAAAAUUAUUUUAAAGCAGAGUAUUAAACUAGUCGGAGAAUUGUUUGUAUGGCCUGAUCCUCAUCUUUAUACAUGCAACUAACCUGUGAGAAUAUCAAAACUCGUGAAUCUCUAUCUUUCAACUUAGGAAGCAACUUGUCCAGCAGAACCAUCUUACCUGGAAACAGGAACAGCAGUUACAUAACCAGCUUCAUGACUACCAAAGAGUAACUUAGAACAUGCCGAUAAUAAUAAGGAUAAACUAACCGGCACUAGUGACAAGGUGAUCUCCUGUGGUGUAAGGUGGGCCAGGUUCAGCACCCUGGAAUAGGUAUGGAUGAUUGCAGCAUUUACGCAACUGCAUUGCUAUGUUCAAAAGACGUUUACGUUCUCCACCGGCAUUAACAACUUCAAGAUCUUUCUGCAGUAAAGCUUUAUAAUACUGCUUCUGCAUCUGGGACAUGCCUACUUUCAAUAUUGUCUCCUUCUUAGGAGGUAAACCCUUCUCAACAUCAGACUUCAAUCUUCUGAGGAGGAAAGGCCGAAGGACCUUAAGAGUAGAGCAGAGUCAAGCAUUAGAUAAUCUGGAUAUACUCCAUAGUCCAUACCCAGAAUUAAAGGGAAAGGAGCAUACCUUGUGCAGUUGCUGCACAACCUCCUGCUGGUCAUUCUCACCAGAUAUUUGGAACCACUCAUCAAAUGUUUCAGCAGAGCUAAAAAUCUCUGGUAGUAGGAAGUUGAGCAGAGCCCAUAGUUCAUGAAGAUUGUUCUGAAUUCAAACCAGAAUUGAUCAAACAGUAAAAUACGCAUCAGAAGGGUGACAAUGUGACUCCAGAGGAUUCAAUGUAGUUGCAUAACUAAACAUGCUGCCCAUGACUUGACUACACACCUGAAGAGGAGUUCCGGUGAUGAGUAAGCGGUAGUUGGUAGUAAAGAGUCGCAUUGUUUUUGAAAGAAGAGAAUUCUCGUUCUUUAUCCGAUGAGCUUCAUCAAUAAUUAUGUAACGCCAGCUAAAGCGCCGUAGAGCGGACUUCUCUUUAAUGGCCAUUUCAAAACUUGUGACGCAUACAUCAAACUUCCCAGCAACAAGCAAAUCCUCACGGAUAUGCCUCUGCAAAGAAAUUAUAUUUAAGAAAUUGAUUUAAUUUGUUUAUGGAUCCACCUGCAAGCCUUUAAAAGAUGAACUGGUAACUUAGUUUAAGAAAUUACCCUUUCUUCAGGGUUGCCGAGGAACUUGAUAGGGCGGAGGACUGGACAAAACCGGCGAAUUUCAUUCAUCCAAUUUCCAAGUGUAGAUUUUGGUGCAACUACCAUAUGUGGACCAGGAAUCCCUCUGAAUUCGUGCAAGUAUCCCAGCAAGGAGAUAGUUUGUAACGUCUUACCAAGGCCCUAGAAAGCAACAGCAAUAUUCAUAUUACCAUCGCAAAAAUAUUCUUAACUUAUUAAAGCUGCAUAGUAUUGCAUAACAAAGUACUAAAGUAGUCAAAUAUCUACAACUUGUCCACAAGGCAUACCAUCUCAUCGGCAAGUAUUCCAUUUAUACCAUUCUCAUACAGUCUGAUGAGCCAGUUUAAUCCAGCCAGCUGAUAAUCCCUCAUCUUUCCCUGAAUACCUACCCAAUGAAUGAACAAGAGGUUUAUUCAGUUUUCCAGUGGCAUUCCCAAAAUGUAACGAUAAGCUAUAAACACUGUACUAAUAUAAAAGAACUUGCAAUCAAUAGAUUCGAACUAAUAAAUGGCUGCGUCAUGGAAAAAUGCAGAAACAGCCUUAUGAAGUGCUAACAUUGCCAAGCACAUAAAGCAUUCCAUAUAUAACUGAGUAGCACCUAUUUAUAGUCAAACGUUGGUGAGGUUCACAGGGCCAAAAAGCUUUUGCACAAACGAAGGUGGAAGAGAAAAGGGGAAAGAGCUUACAAGAUGGUUGUGCCACCAGCCUCGUUGUUCCUGCCAUUCCAUCUUCUUCUUCCUUCAAAUAUUCUUCAUCUUCUUCUUCUUCCGUAACUUUGGAAGAAUGCCGCCCUCUGGAUUGAUACAUCAGUCAAGGCAGCCAUCAUUGACAUUUGUUACCAUCUAGGACCCUUUAGGACUCAACUAUUUUCUCUAUGAACCACUUUUAGCAGGUCAAACAAACAAGAUCACAUCCGAUUACUAUUGAUUGUGAAACUAGGCACGUAUUUGUUUAGAACGAAUCUAAAUCCUUCGUAAGAGUUAUACCGCCAGGUAAAGUCAGUAAACGAUAAAAAAAAAUCUGGAACCAUUACACUAACGACAAGCCAUUCAGCUAACCUCUUCAGCCUCCUCGGUCCCAUCGUUAUCAUCUUGGUCAGCUGCAUCAGCGCCGGCUUCAUCAUCGUCGGAGUCAUCAGCACUGCGAGCCACAGCUUCGAGACGCUGCCCGUCUACCUCCUCCUCCUGCUCGUCUUCCUCUUCGUUGAUAUGGUCGUUAUUUUGCUCCUCGUCGGACGAAUUGGAGGCGUUGGACAAGGAAUCUUCGGACGACGACUGCUGCUUCGACGGUCUCGCCAUCCAAUUUGCAGUUACAAACCUCGAAUCUUCCGGCGGAUCGAGGGUUUACUCUGCUCAGCCUUUCCCGUUUGCGGAGAAAAAAGAAAAAUGCUAUGAGAAAACGAACUAGUCGAGUUGAAAUCAUGAGAGCAACGGGAGCAUUAUAUGUUGGGAUAUUUUGGGCGGUUAGAUAUACGGGAGCAAGAUCGUGCGGCUUCAGACGGAUAUAUAGUUUCCCGCAUUUCCUGGUAAAUUUUUCGCUGUGGUUCCCGCUUUCAGAUUUGGACAAAGGAAUUUCAGAAGAUGGAGAAAGGCCACAAACGACGCUGAGAUUCGGACAUGUCAACAACAAUAUUAACGGUAAAUAGAAAUAUUAGAAAUAGAUGGCGCAACACCAUUGGUAAGAUAAUUAAUUUUAUUUUUUAAAUACAAAUUGUUAUAGAAUUGCAGACACGUCAGCAACAGAAUUAACGGUGAGCAAAAGUGUUAAAAACAGAUGGCGCAACACCAUUCGUUGUGUAACAUAAUUGAUUAGACAAUCUAAACUUCUCCCCAACUGCAGUGUUCCAUUAAAUAGCUAACGACGCAAUUUUGUUCUUCUUUAAUCCUUCAACCACUUUAAACUUCUAAAAAAUGGCUUGUACAUGUUCUUAAUCAUGCAUUAUUCUCUUCAAUUCCUUUAUAUAUCCGGUCACAAGUUGGCGAGUGGAUGUCAAACACUCUCAAGUUAGAAAGUAGAAAAUGUUUACAGAGUCUGUGCAAGCCUUUAGUACAUAGGUCACUUAUGUAACAUUCCGAUUUUUUUCAACAAGAUAUUGUCCGUUUUGGUUUUGAAUCUCACUUAUUUGCUUUUUGGGAUGCAUCUUGGUGACAUCCCAAGUGGUCAUAUGUCUGCACUACUCCACACUGAGCACGUUUCACUUCAGAGUUCUUACGACAACUUCUCCUCUAUUUCAUCUCGAAAACGCGUCUUGUUAGUUAAGGUCGGAUUUUUUUCUUAUAGCACAUGGAUCUCCUCCCGUGCUUUGUCGGUUUGGGAUUUUCGAGAGACAAGGACUAUAUCUUGUUGAAAAUGGUCGGGAUAUUACAAGCUAGUUGUGACUCAGUAGCCAAAUGCUUCAGCUUAAUCAAACCUGACUUGAUCUUUUCACGUGUAACAUGACAAUUGAUCUCAAUGUGCUUAGUACGCUCAUGAAACACAAGAUUUUCUGUUAUAUAAAUCACUGACCUGUUGUAUUAACAGUAUUAACGGUAAAAAGAAAUAUUAGAAAUUGAUGGUGCAGCACCAUUGGUAAUAUAAUUAAUUUCAUUUUCUUUAUAUACAGACGGUUAUUGUGUUUCGAACACGUCAACAACAAAAUUAACGGUAAACAGAAAUAUUAAAUACAUGUGGUGCAAAACCAUUCUUUGUAACAUAAUUAAUUAGGCAGUCUAAACUUCUCCACAACGACAAUGUUCCAUUAAAAAGCCAACGAUGUUGUCUUGUUUUUCUUAAUUCUUCAACCUUUUUAAACUUCUAGGAGAUGGCUUGUACUUAUUCUUAAUCAAGCAUUCCUCUCUUCAACUCCUUCCAAUAUCCUUUCACAAGGACUCCCAACUUGAAAAGUAAAAAAAAUUUACGACGUCUGUGUAAGUGUCAUGGUCAUGACAGACGUCACGGCCGGGGGGGAUGUGGUAGGGGGCCGGGGGGCUCUCACAACAAAAAAAGGCGACAACAACAGCAGUUCCAAAUCUUGUUUUGACCAUAACUUAUUCGUUUGGAUUUUGAUUUCGCUCCAGAAUGUACCGUUGGCUUUAUAGUCGAAUUCUCUAUCUCAAGAACACUUGCAAUCUAGGAAAAUACUCUAAAAACAAGUCAAAUGGAUCGAAAUGGUUUGUUUGAGAGGAGACGAACACGAAAUGCACUUAUGACCAACCAGGUACUAUUAACAAGCAAACAUCAUCAAAACCGAAGCAAAACCAGUCAAGAUGGGUGAGAUAUAUACCAAGGGUUUAUGUGCUAUCAACAAUCCUUUAGUAAACAGGUCACCUAUAUAACAUCUCGACUUUUUCCAACAAGAUAUUAUUCGGUUUGGUCUUUGUCCCUCAUAUAUCUGGUUUUCGGGAUGCAUCUAGGUGACUUCCCAAGAGAUCACCCUUAUGCGCUGCUCCACCCUGAGCACGUUUAACUUUAGAGUUCUUACAAAAACUCUUCCAUUUCACCCCCAAAAACGCGGUUUGUUAGUUAAGAUCAGAUUUUUCCUUAUAGCCCAUGGAUCUCCCCGUUUGGUGCUACUACCUGACAACCUCCUCAAGAGCUACUAAACGACCAAGGUCGGAAUCCAUAUAAAUUCAAUUGUACCGUUAUAGAAAUUAUCACUUUUGGUCCCUUGAUUAUUAAAAGAUAACAAAAGAACAAAACAUUGAAAAGUUACAAUUUGGUCACUGUAUGACAAUCCAUCCUCCUUAAGAAUAGGCUUGUCUCAAGCUUUGAAAUCGAGGAACUUGGGAUGGAAUUUAACCCAAUCCGCCCAGGUUGCUUCAGCUUCAUCUUGAUGGGACCAUUGGACUAGCGCCUGUGUAACAGCUUGGUUAUUCUUCUUUAUAAACCUCCAUGCCAAAAUGGCCACUAGUUCAAUCUUCAUCACUCCAUCAUCAUCUAGCUCAGGCAAUGCUGUCUGCACUUUAUUAUUGUUUCCAAUUGCUCGUUUGAGUAAACUUACAUGGAAAACUGGAUGGAUUAACAAGCUGCUAGGUAAUUUCAACUUGUAAGCCACCACCCCCAUCUUAGCUUCAAUCUCAUAGGGUCCAAAUUAUCUUGGCGAGAGCUUAGCACAAUGCCUGGAUGCUACUAAUUGUUGCCUGUAGGGUUGUAACUUCAAAUAAACCUAAUUCCUACUGCAAAUUGCCUCUCUGUUGUGUGUUUAUCAGCUUGCUACUUAUGCCUGUUUGAAGCUCUAGCAAGGCUGUUCCCGAGUGUAGUUAUCAGUAACUGUUGCCUCUGCAGCUUUUCCUCAACUGCUGCUAUAGGGAUGUUCAAAGGGUUAUGUACUCCAAAUGCAGAAGGAGCAUAUCUGUAUAAUGCUUCAAAAGGAGUUAAGUUAAGGCUUGAAUGAAAAUUGGUGUUAUGCCACCAUUCAGCCAUUGCUAAGCAUUCUAACCACUUUUUGGGUUUACCUUGCACCAUAGCAUGAAGAUAAUCCUCCAAACAUCAAUUCAAUCUCUCAGUUUGACCAUCCGUUUGAGGGCGGUAAGCAGUUGAGUAAUGUAGCUUACUUCCUUACAAUUGAAAUAGUUCCUAACAAAAAUGGCUUGUGAACAUUGUAUCCCUAUCAAAACUAUUAUUUCUGGAAGGCCAUGAAGCUUACACACUCCUUCCAUGAAUACCUUAGCUAUGCUGGCAGCUAUAUAGGGAUGACUAACAGCUAGAAACUGUGCAUACUUGGUAAACCGAUCCACUACUACAAAUAUUACCUCUAAUCCGACAGAUUGAGGGAGACCUUCAAUGAAGUCUAUUUCAAUAUGCUUCCAUGCCUGAUUAGGAAUGGGCAAUGGCUGCAACAGUCCUGGAUAAGAAACCUGUUCAGCCUUGCAUUACUGGCAGGUAUGACAGUUUGCCACCCAUUCAGCUACAUCUUUCUUCAACCCUGGCCAAUAGAAGUACCUUUUGAUUCUCUGCUAAUUGGCUUGCACCCCUGAAUGCCCUCCUCUUGGUGAGCCAUGAAAUAGGGCUAGCAAAUGCCUUCUCUAUUCUCUAGACUUGCCUAGCCAUUGGAACUUCAGACUUAGUUGCUUGAAAUCCAUCUCAAUCGAGAUAAUUGUUUGCAGCCAAUCAACUCCCAACACCAAAUCAUUCUCCUUGAGUUCCAGGACACGCACAUCAAAAUCAAACGGUUGUCCUUGCAUAAACCAUGUGAAUCCCUUACAGGUUUUCGUGUUGAGUAAGGCAUCUCUGUUAGCAACCUUCACCUUCAUCGUUGGAGCAGCUUAUAAGGUGCAUUGCAUUUCUUUAGCACAAGAUUGACUAAGGACGGUAUGGCUACUCCCUGUGUCAACCAAAAUAAGCAAGCCAACUCUUCCAAUUUUCAUGGAAGAGAUAGGAUUAGCUCCCAUUGCCAAGUAGUGGAUCUCCUCCAACUCUUGAGUGUUCUCCUCCUCUGCCAUAUCAUUCUCCACGUCCUCCUCUGUUACUUCAGCAUCUCCUUCCAACAGGUUGAGGCAUUUCUUCCCACAUUGAUGGCCAUAAAAAUAUCGGCCUCCACACUUAAAGCAAGUUCCUGGGGUUCUUCCUCCUUGAGAAGAAGCUCCAAAAGGUCUGGUUGGAGCCGCCUGGAACCUCCUUAAACUGCCAGGACCAGGGCCAUUUGACUCUGGAAACCGAUUAUUAGAGCUACGAUACUUCUUCUUUCUAGCUUCAAUGGAGGUUUCCUCCAUCCGUGCCUGCAAGAAUGUUAUGUUCAACGUUUGGGGUCUCAACAUCAACAAAACAGGUUGUAUUUCAUCAUCUAGCCCACUAAUAAUACUAUUGAUGAAAUACUCCUCGCCCAAGGUGGGAGUGAGCUUAAGCAUUCGAGCUCUCAACUCUUCAAAUUAUUCUUGGUACUGUGUCACUGAGCUGGUCUGCUUGAGCCUAUUAAAAGCUCCCAUUGUAUUAAUAUGACCAGAAUCACCGAAUCUUUGUAGUAAAUCGACAACAAAAUCGUCCAGCAGACCAUCCUUGAAACCAUACAUCCACACGAUCUUCCAAAAAAAGGGAGACCAAAUCCAUCUUUUGAUUAUCAGCUAUACUGUGCAUAGUAAAUAGCUUUUGGCACUUACGGAUCCACGAAGUUGGCUCAAUACCACUGAAAUGGGGAAAUUCCCGCCUUGGCAUGUGAUUAUGCCCUGCCUGAUCGGACGUGGAAGGAGUCUACGGUUCAGUGGUGUUAGCGGUUGCUGAGCCUCGAGCAAGCGAUGUAUCAUCCGUAAGUCGGCCACGUCAGCCGGCAGCUGCUCCUGGGCGGUGGCAAACCGGUUUUGGGUCUCUUGAACGGCAGUGAACGGCCCCUCCCACGGGGUUAGAAGCUUGUGUUUUAUUACGGGGAGGGGGGAAGGAGUCUACGGUUCAGUGGUGUUAGCGGUUGCUGAGCCUCGAGCAAGCGAUGUAUCAUCCGUAAGUCGGCCACGUCAGCCGGCAGCUGCUCCUGGGCGGUGGCAAACCGGUUUUGGGUCUCUUGAACGGCAGUCACCGCCUCCUCCAACGUGUUUAGGUGUUGGUUUGUCAUGCCGAGGAGGGCUCUGAAUACCAAUUGUCACACCCCUGGUGCACUCCUACGAUUAAAAAGAGAAUUAGAAAAGAGAGAAGGGAGAUGAGGAUGAGAGACAUUGAUAGAGAAUAUUUCCUAUUGAUUUCCUCAAAUGGGCAGCUGUCCCAUAUAAAUCCAAUUGUACUGUUACAAGAAUUAUCACUUUUGGUCCCUCGAUUAUUAAAAGAUAACAAAACAACAAAACAUUGAAAAGUUGCAAUUUGUCACUGCGUUACAAAACGAGCAGUUGCGGAGGCAAAGGUAUGUGGAGAUAACUGGAGGGAGAAGAAGCGGGCAAAUACCAACGGUUUCAUCAUCAAUCAACCAAGCUUCUAGUAUCUUGAAGCUCGGCUUAUUCCCAGCAUGACUGGUCGGUUUUAUAGUUUUAAAGUUACUUCACCAAUGUUAACGAAUGCAGAAAUCAUUCUGAACCAAACUCGCAAUCUUAAGCCUUCACAUUGAAAGAGGGUUCACAUUUAGCUACACACACAAUCAAGGACUGUCUGAGUUUACAUUAAAAUACAUAGUUUAACCAAUAGGAUGCUCUCUUUCGCCAAGUCUGGACAACAUUCAUAUCGCAAUCAAACAAUACUAUCGAAGCCAACUCUACUACUAGGGAAAAGAGGCCAGGUCCUUUACGUUAAAUUAUAUAGUUGAACCAUUACAUUAGGAUACUCUCUCUUUCGCCAUGUCUGGACGACAUUCAUAUCGCAAUCAAACGAUGCUAUCGAAACCGAGUCUACUACUACGGAAGAGAGGCCAGGUCCUUUACAUUAAAAUAUAUAGUUGAACCAUUACAUUAGGAUACUCUCUCUUUCACCAAGUCUGGAUGACAUUCAUAUCGCAAUCAAACGAAACUACCGAACCCGCGCCUAUCANNNNNNNNNNNNNNNNNNNNNNNNNNNNNNAGAGGCCAGGUCCUUGCUACACUACUUCCUCUUCUUUCCCUGCAUAAAGAAUGACAACUCAGACUAAGACAUGUUUGGUUGACUGGGUUUGAAUAUGCAUAUU
rnacentral:lncRNA from 1 species